rnacentral:rRNA from 1 species
CUACGUGCCAGCAGCCGCGGUAAUACGUAGGUCCCGAGCGUUGUCCGGAUUUAUUGGGCGUAAAGCGAGCGCAGGCGGUUUGAUAAGUCUGAAGUUAAAGGCUGUGGCUCAACCAUAGUUCGCUUUGGAAACUGUCAAACUUGAGUGCAGAAGGGGAGAGUGGAAUUCCAUGUGUAGCGGUGAAAUGCGUAGAUAUAUGGAGGAACACCGGUGGCGAAAGCGGCUCUCUGGUCUGUAACUGACGCUGAGGCUCGAAGGCGUGGGGAGCGAACAGGAUUAGAUACCCUGGUAGUCCACGCCGUAAACGAUGAGUGCUAGGUGUUGGAUCCUUUCCGGGAUUCAGUGCCGCAGCUAACGCAUUAAGCACUCCGCCUGGGGAGUACGACCGCAAGGUUGAAACUCAAAGGAAUUGACGGGGGCCCGCACAAGCGGUGGAGUAUGUGGUUUAAUUCGACGCAACGCGAAGAACCUUACCAGGUCUUGACAUUGAUGGACAGAACUAGAGAUAG